UCUCGACCUCAAAUCCAGGUAGGAAUACCCGCUGAACUUAAGCAUAUCAAUAAGCGGAGGAAAAGGAAACCAACAGGGAUUGCCUCAGUAGCGGCGAGUGAAGCGGGCAAGAGCUCAAAUUUGAAAUCGCAGCGGCAACGCGGCGAGUUGUAGAUUGCAGGAGGGAGAGUUUGCGGGCGGCGGGCGUCGAAGUCCCUUGGAACAGGGCGCCACUGAGGGUGAGUAGCCCCGUGCGAUGCCUGCCCAUGCUUUGAACUCCCCUCUGACGAGUCGAGUUGUU
rnacentral:rRNA from 1 species